ensembl:lncRNA
CAAAGAAGACGGUGAUAGAGCUGACUAGUUUGUGGGUUUUGAAAGGCGGUUUGAUGCUGUCAAACGGGACCAAAAAAUACUAUUUUGACAAAAAUCUUAAACGGUUAUUGUUCUGCUGGUUUCCAGAGACACCUUGUGGUAGAUGUGAAGAUUGCGUUUCUUAUUUUCAUUCAAGACGAAGUGGAACUUCGAGGGGAAAACUCAGAGAUGAUCUGAAGUUCUUAAAAGUACUUGACAUCGCUAUGGAAACAGAAUUAUUUGCCGGUAUUCCGAAGAUUCCUUAUAUACCCAACGCUGGAGCUCGAAACGUCUUGUGUUUCCAACACUACAAUGCAGAAGAAGUGCUGCUGGGCAGACGUAUGGAGGACUGGCUGAGAUUCUCCGUCUGUUACUGGCACUCCUUCUGUGGGACUGGUGCCGACCCUUUUGGGUUCCAGACACAACACAGACCCUGGAAUGAGGGUGCUACCCCCAUGGAAUGUGCCAAGAAGAGACUCCAUGCAGCCUUUGAGUUCUUCACCAAACUUGGUGUGAAGUACUACACCUUUCAUGACAGGGACAUGUCCCCUGAGGGAAGCACUCUGGAGGAGUCCAACAGCAACCUGGAUGAGAUGACAGACCUGGCCCUGCAGCUACAGAAUAGGACUGGGGUCAAGGUGCUGUGGGUCACCUGCAAUCUGUUUGCUCACUCAAGAGUACAAGGAGAAGAUAGGGUUGAAGUGCCAGUUCCUCAUUGAACCCAAGCCUAAAGAGCCAUGCAAACAUCAAUACGACUAUGAUGCAAUGAGUGUCAUAGGCUUCCUGAAGCAUUAUGACCUGGACAGCCAUUUCAAACUGAACAUCGAACCCAACCACACCACUCUGGCUGGGCAUUCCUAUGAACACGACGUCGUCAUGGCCUCUGUGUUUGGCAUGCUGGGCUCUGUGGACUCCAACACGGGUUCUCCUGACCUGGGCUGGGACACAGACCAGUUCCCCAUGGACAUCAGGAACGGAACACCACCAUGAUAAUGAAGACUGUGAUAGAGCAGGGUGGUCUGCAGCCGGGGGGUCUGAACUUCGAUGCUAAGGUGCGUAGGGAGUCCACAGACCUGGAGGACCUGUUCAUAGCCCACGUCGGAGCCAUGGACGCCUUCGCACGCGGCCUGAGGAACGCAGUCAGGAUCAUAGAGGAAGGAGUUAUCACCAGCAUGGUCAAGGAGCGCUACAUGAGCUUCAGCCAUGGGAUUGGUCAGAAAGUAGAGGAUGGCAGCACCUCAUUGGAGGAGCUGGAGGACUUUGUCAAGCAAAAUGGGGAGCCCAAAGUCACAUCAGGCAAACAGGAGAAAUAUGAAACGGUCUUUAACCACUACCUUUGAAGACAUGUGGUGAAGUCUUGUUUGACCAUGAAAUCCCUUGUCCUGAGUGGUAUAGUGUCCAUCCAGACCUUUCAUAAUAGUAUGCUUAGAGAGUGAUAUAGUUUCACAUGACUAACUAUUAUUACAGUUAUAGUAUAAAGAAUUAAUCAGUGGAGUCUUGUGAAUGUGGACUAUUUUAAUACACACUCCUGUAAUGUUGACAUAUGAUUAGAUUAUGAGGCCAUCAAUGGUAAAGACCAGAAAUAUGAAUUUAAUUUAGUAUAAAUUACAAGGCAUUUCAAAUACUGAAUUAAGGAAUUAACUAAUUGAUCAGUUUUUCAUACUGGAGUUGAAUAAAAAGAAGCAAACCCUAUUGUGUCAGUGCUUUGCAUUACUAUUAUAGUUAUUAAAAUAAAUAUAUAUAGUGUUGCUUUUUAGCUUCUAAUGUUAGAGUAACAUUAAAAAGGUUGAUGUCUUGGCAAAAAGACUUUAAAAAAAACAUACCAUAUUUAAUAAGGCUGCCC